rnacentral:misc_RNA from 1 species
GAUGAAGAACGCAGCGAAAUGCGAUAAGUAAUGUGAAUUGCAGAAUUCAGUGAAUCAUCGAAUCUUUGAACGCACCUUGCGCUCCUUGGUAUUCCGAGGAGCAUGCCUGUUUGAGUGUCAUUAAUAUAUCAACCUUCUCUUUUUUGAGUUGUUUGGAUGUGGGGGUUUGCUGGCCUCUUAAAUGAUUCAGCUCCCCUGAAAUGCAUUAGCAGAACAACCUGUUCAUUAGCGUGAUAAUUAUCUACGCUAUUGAAUGUGAGGGCAGUUCAGCUUUCUAACCGUCCUUGGACAAUUCAUCAUUAAUGUGACCUCAAAUCAGGUAGGACUACCCGCUGAACUUAAGCAUAUCAAUAAGCGGAGGA